GAUGAACGCUAGCUACAGGCUUAACACAUGCAAGUCGCGGGGCAGCAUGGGGGUUGUUUGCAAUCCCCGAUGGCGACCGGCGCACGGGUGAGUAACGCGUAUCCAACCUGCCCUUCACCACGGGAUAACCCGGCGAAAGUCUGACUAAUACCGUAUGUUGUCCAUUGACGGCUUCCGAUUUGGAUGAGAGGUUUGGGGGGGAUGGAGGGGGAUGCGUGCGGUUUGCUGGAGGGGGGGGUGACGGCCAGGCUGGGGGACGCUCGGUAUGGGCUAUGAGGGGGAGGUCCCCCACACUGGAACUGCGACACGGUCCACGCUCCUACGGGCGGCAGCAGUGAGGAAUAUUGGUGAAUGGGCGUAAGCCUGAACCAGCCAAGUGGCGUGCAGGAUGACGGCCCUCUGGGUUGUAAACUGCUUUUAGGCGGGGAAAAAGUAGCCCACGUGUGGGUUUUUGCCGGUACCGCAUGAAUAAGGACCGGCUAAUUACGUG
rnacentral:rRNA from 1 species